CAGGGCGCUGUUGGAUUCGGACAGCAGUGGUGUGCCUACCUCACAGGCGAAAACUUAAAUAUAACUGGCAAUAGUCAAUUAUCAUUUGCUGCUUAGUUAGCCGAUUAAGGCUCGCAGCCGUCAACCCUGGUUACUCCUCUGGGUCAGGGAUUGGUGUCAAAGACAUAGGAUAGGCUCAGCGAUUCUCAAUAAGCAGAGCCGAAGAUCAUUGAGAAACCAUGCGGUAACGGCCGUCCGUCACUAACCGCAUGUAGCAUGACGGACUAAACUGUAGAAGUCUGAAUGUGGGACACGUUUUGGACAGGGGUUCGAUUCCCCUCGCCUCCACCA
rnacentral:tmRNA from 1 species